AGGAUAAACGCUGGCGGCGUGCCUAAAACAUGCAAGUCGAACGGCACCUUCGGGUGUAGUGGCGAACGGCUGAGUAACACGUGGGUGACCUGCCCUCGAACGGGGGAUAACUGCCCGAAAGGGUGGCUAAUACCGCAGAUGUCAUGGGUUCGUUCUCAUGACUGAACCUCCGGGGUUCGAGGAGGGGCCCGCGGCCGAUUAGCUCGCUGGUGGGUAACGGCCUACCAGGGCUUCGAUCGGUAGCUGGUCUGAGAGGAUGAUCAGCCAGACUGGGACUGCGAACGGCCCAGACUCCUACGGGAGGCAGCAGUUAGGAAUUUGGGCAAGUGGGCGAAAGCCUGACCCAGCAACGCCGCGUGGGUGACGAAGGCCCGUACGGGUCGUAAACGCCCUUUUCCCGAGGGAACGAUGAGUCGACGGUACCGUGGGAAUCGACGCCCGCGUAACUACGUGUCAGCACGCCGAC
rnacentral:rRNA from 1 species